rnacentral:rRNA from 1 species
UACGUAGGGGGCAAGCGUUGUCCGGAUUUAUUGGGCGUAAAGAGCGUGUAGGCGGCUUUGCAAGUCCGUUGUGAAAACUCGAGGCUCAACCUCGAGACGCCGGUGGAAACUGCAAAGCUAGAGUCCGGAGAGGUGAGUGGAAUUCCGAGUGUAGAGGUGAAAUUCGUAGAUAUUCGGAAGAACACCAGUGGCGAAGGCGGCUCACUGGACGACUGAUGACGCUGAGGUGCGAAAGCGUGGGGAGCAAACAGGA